rnacentral:rRNA from 1 species
GAUGAACGCUAGCGGCAGGCCUAAUACAUGCAAGCUGAACGGCAAGUUGAAUAGCAAUAUUUGACCUAGAGUAGCGUAAGGGUGCGUAACACGUAUGCAAUCUGCCCGCAACAGGAGGAUAGCUUGAUGAAAGUUGAGAUAAGGCUCCAUAAGAUCACAGGAGGGCAUCUGAUAGUGAUUAAACUACAAGGGGUUGCGGAUGAGCAUGCGCAUGAUUAGUUAGUUGGCGGGGUAACGGCCCACCAAGACAAUGAUCAUUAGGGGAACUGAGAGGUUGGUCCCCACACU